CCUCAAGGUACAACGACGCUCUCUGACAAAGAGAAUCAGCGCUCGCUCGAUGUGUUGGUGCGGCGCGAGCCGCCAUUUCACAACCGCAUAUGAUUUUAUAAACGUGUGAUUGUUUCGCAAAGUAAAGCAAAUAACGCGGAAUCAUUAAGGUUGUUUUAGAAGACCUCGCGAUAUCUGAAGGUUUUAAAGAUGGAAGCUGAACCUGAGCAGGUGGAAGAGACUAAAGAGGUGAUGGAGGUCACAGAAGCAUCUUCACAGGAAGACGCUGUAUCUGAAAGCAAAUCCAGGGGUCGUGGAACUAAGAGCCGUGGCAGAGUUGGACGGAUGGGCCGAGGAGGUCGUGGCGGGCGAGGAAUGAUGAUGAAAGGGUUCAGACCGCCGGGUCACAUGAGAGGCAGAGGCCGUGAUGGCUUUACAAAUGGAUUUGGGCCCAUGAGGCGGGGCAUGGGUAGAACAAGGCCUUAUCCGGACAUGCGUGGACGGAGAGGUGGUCCAAUGGGAAUGUACUUGGGUCCGCCCCCUCCUCCACCGCCCCCACCCAUGCACAUGAGAGGACCUCCACCUCCAAUGCACAGAAUGUCUGGCGUCUAUCAUUACAGGCAUGGCCCGCAUGGCCCGCCUCCCCCUCCACCGCCGGGACACCCGGGUUUCAGAGGGCGGCCUCCACACCCGAGGGGGCGGAACAUGAUGCCUCCCGGUCCUCCGCGAUUUUUCCAUCCCCGAGGGGGUUAGACACCCUUUUGGAGGGCAGCCGGACAUGCAGGAGGCAGAACGCUCCCAUCUGCUCACCUCGCUGAUGUCACUCACCUCUUUCUCUCACAAGGUGAGUGUCUCUGUGUGUUUAUCUAAACUGGAUUGAGGGGAGCUACCAGUUAGUCAGUCUUCAGACUGGAGUUCUUCAGACGACCACACUUGACAAACCUGUUACAGAACCUCAAGGCUGUUUAUAAAGAACAUGACCUGUUUGUUCUUCAACUUCAUUCCCACCGUAAAGAGAAGUUAGCAGGUGCAUGUUUCAGUUCAAGUACAAAAGAGACCUUCAUGGGGGUUAAGAGUUUGUCUAGUAGGUUCUGCAAGUGUGCCGUCUGAGGAAUCCAAAAUGCUGCAGUGAUUUAAACUGCCAUAAAGAUGAACAGGUGUGGGCUAAAUAAGUGGGAGUCUGAUUUUUCAAAGGUUCAUUUGUUAGACAUUGAAGUCCCAAAAAAUCCACCCUCACUUACUAUGAAAUGCUGUUGUUAUGUUAUAUUGCAGUUUCAUUCUGGAGGACAGAACUGUGAAAUAAUGACUGCUUUAAACAUUUGACUUUUCCAGUAGUUACAGAUGUAUAACCCCAUGUGACCACAAGCUCUGAUCCUCCCUGUUAUAAGUUGAUGCUCUGCUAUUUUGUUUCAUCUAAUGUGAGGAAGUGAGAGAGCGUGCGGGUCAUUUGACUGCUUGAGUUCAGAGGAAUCAGUCAUUUUAUUGGUGCUGCAGGACUGCGCAGAUGCAGACAGAACCACAGGAGCAGAUGCAUGAGCUGAAGCCAGAACGUAAGUGACGCAUUCUUCUGGUUGAUUCGUUCAUACGAACAGCCACUCUUUGUGUUUAUUAAAGGGAAGACUUGGGUCAUUUGGGCUUGCUGUUUUUUCUUCUAUACACAUCGUGGAUUUCUUCUGGUGUGAUCUCUGCUAAUAGGUGCUGUUGCCUGAUCUACUGUAAUAGUUGAACAUUUCACUGAUCUAAGAUCAGAUCAGGUUCCCCUUGGGUCGGUUCGGAGUUCUUUGAAAUGCUGCAGGUUAUAUCAUGACAGACGUCUCCUCAUAUGACCCUCAUGGACUGGACGGCU